GAUCUUCGUUUAGUCUGAACUUAGAGUACCGAUAUCUUUGAUUUGUCCGAUCUCUCAAAACAAGUCAGAAUGCUCUCAGAGAUCUCCUCAAAGCUCGAUUCUUUAGGUGUCGAGUUUUGAGCUCGGAUGGGUGACCUCUGUCCGGUUCCGAGCUCAGAUGGGCUUUGUCCAGUUCUAAACUCGGAUUGGCAAGCACUAGUCGGGUCAGUUUAUUAGCCUUUUAUAUCAUUGUCUGCCCGCUAAGUUUGAAUCUUUAGGUUCGGAGGGUUAUGGCUUUUUGAAACUUAAUGAGCAUUGAUGGCUUUUCUCUAAGUUGCAAGAAAUAAAUGGCUAUUUUCGGCAUUCGAGG
rnacentral:misc_RNA from 1 species